CCCUUAGAUGUUCUGGGCCGCACGCGCGCUACACUGACGAAUGCAACGAGCUUAUAACCUUGGCCGAAAGGUCUGGGUAAUCUCCAAAUUUCGUCGUGAUGGGGAUAGAUUAUUGCAAUUAUUAAUCUUCAACGAGGAAUGCCUAGUAAGCGCAAGUCAUCAGCUUGCGUUGAUUACGUCCCUGCCCUUUGUGCACACCGCCCGUCGCUCCUACCGAUUGAAUGGUCCGGUGAAGCGUUCGGACCGUGGCCUUUGGACGGUUCGCCGUCUGUUGGCUGCGGGAAGUUCGUUAAACCUUAUCAUUUAGAGGAAGGAGAAGUCGUANCA
rnacentral:rRNA from 1 species